UCGGCCUUUUAACAGUGGCUUUCCAAGUUCUCGGGCCACAAAGCCCCUGCCAGAGCGCUGGUUCUUGACAUCAGCCUUCGCCAACCAACUGUGAGGCUGUAAGGAGGGGUCUGGCACCCUGUCCCCUGGCACCCAGGGCUCCUAGGCUGUGGUCUUUAUCUGGAGUUCAUUUGAAAGAACUUUUGGAGACACAUGAUCUCUCUCUGUCCUUCUAAAGACGCCCUUGAGAAGGAACAGCUACAGUGAGGCACCACACAUCUCCUCUAAAGUUUUCUGUGGGAAUUACAUGAGACAGUGGAUGUGAAGACACCCAGCACUGCCUUCCAUACAGAAGGUCACUUGUUGACUCCCAUUUCUGCCAUUUUGGUGCAUGACCUUGAGAAAGAUAAUAGAUAAGAUAAUCACCUUUGGGAUCCCACCAACGGAUAUAUGCAAAGCUCUCAAAACACCAUCGCACACGUGUGAACCACACAGCAUUGUCCGCCAGUGAUGAUCACAACCUGAGUGUGCCCUUCUAGUGCCCUGUGUGUUCCCAGCCUGGACGUCCUGUAGCCCAUCUUCCUGUCCUGCCCCCCACCCUCUGCAGUGCCUCCCCACUCAGCCUGGGUCGCACCCAAAGCCUGAGUCAUCUAUGAAAAUCACUGAUGAAGAGGCCACUGUAGCUGGUAUCCAGCUGUCCCGCUCUGCACCCAGCUCGGGGACUUCUGGGUACCCAUGUGCUCUGCCCGAGGAGCCUGAAUGCCCCCCACACUGCACUAAUACUCUGGCGUUGGGGUGUCUACUAACUCCCAUCUCCCCUGGAUGGCCAGGCCCACGGGUGUGGCUCUGCGGCCUGGUGGCCCACACUUCCCUGUGAGCUCUGGGGCCUCCUGAGAACCAUGAUGUUAACCUGAGGCUGUAAGGCAACAAGACCCCCAGGGAGAGGUGAUGUGGGGAGUCAGGAGUCGUCUCUCAUGGCUGGGCACAGGCUGGUGCCAGGGGGUGUGAUAUCACGGGGGGGGGGUUGCUGGGAACACCAAUUUGUCCCGGGUUAGUGGUGUUUAGAGGUAUUUGGCCCCACAGGCGUUGGCAGGAAGCUGUUUGCACACAUUCUUCCCUUGGGAACUAGGGCUUCAAGGUUGGGUCUGAAAGGGGCUUGUUUUCUGUCCCAGUCUCAUGCUGGGUAACUGUGGGGGCCUCCCCAGGAGGACGGUGUGAGACACACCUAAGAGUGUGUGUGUGUUCAAAGGUGUGUGGGCUGGAGCUGCGUAUCUGAAGUUUGUUGGAUGGUUUGCAAUAUAAACAGACUCAGUUUUCUUA